CCUACGGGAGGCAGCAGUGGGGAAUAUUGCACAAUGGGCGCAAGCCUGAUGCAGCCAUGCCGCGUGUAUGAAGAAGGCCUUCGGGUUGUAAAGUACUUUCAGCGGGGAGGAAGGGAGUAAAGUUAAUACCUUUGCUCAUUGACGUUACCCGCAGAAGAAGCACCGGCUAACUCCGUGCCAGCAGCCGCGGUAAUACGGAGGGUGCAAGCGUUAAUCGGAAUUACUGGGCGUAAAGCGCACGCAGGCGGUUUGUUAAGUCAGAUGUGAAAUCCCCGGGCUCAACCUGGGAACUGCAUCUGAUACUGGCAAGCUUGAGUCUCGUAGAGGGGGGUUAGAAUUCCAGGUGUAGCGGUGAAAUGCGUAGAGAUCUGGAGGAAUACCGGUGGCGAAGGCGGCCCCCUGGACGAAGACUGACGCUC
rnacentral:rRNA from 1 species